AUAGGCCCAACAUGCUGUCUGAACUUCAGGGCUGGUGGAAGCUAAAAGGUUCCUGGACAGCAGGAAGGUGCUCCCGAGGCCCCGCCCUUGCCCAGGGCAGUUAACGGUUGCUUAGGGAGGUUCUGCUCACCAGGCCAAGCUUCUCUCCAACAUACCGACUGUUAGGAGGUUUUUUCCUUCAGUGGUGCAGCGGCCCAUAAAUUUCCCAAGUUUCUGUGAGUCACUAAUUAAACUCAUUGUCUUACCAAGUUAGACUUGAGUGAGCCAAGUUCUUUGGUCUGUCGUUGGUUCGGUAAUGGGGGUGGAGAAACAUUUUUUUCAUCUCUCUCCAGGAAAAGUUGACCCAGUAACUCCACAAUCAAAUGAGCUUGUAGCACUUUGCCUGCUCUGACCACCUCCUUCCAUAGAGCACUCCUGAACUGGCCAUCCCUCGAGGAACCAGAGGUCACUGACUUUCAUCAUAAGGAUGUUUUCACUCAACAAUAAGUAGCCAGAUACAAAUUAUUUCAUAAGCUGAACUGGAAUAUCAGAAAGAAGCUGGGUGUGGUGACUUGGGCUUAAAAAUGAUGAAGCAGGAGGAUUGCUGUGUGUUCCAGGCCAGUCUAGGCUAGAGAGUGAUAUGCUAUCUCAAUAAUACAAAACAAAAGAAAAAGGAGGGAAAUGAUGUAAUUAUAUUUAUAUUUAAACGUGUUUAUUAAAAACAAAACAAAACAGAAAA